rnacentral:rRNA from 1 species
ACGCUGGCGGCGUGCCUAAUACAUGCAAGUCGAACGAGAGCGACCGGUGCUUGCACUGGUCAAUCUAGUGGCGAACGGGUGAGUAACACGUGGGUAACCUGCCCAUCAGAGGGGGAUAACAUUCGGAAACGGAUGCUAAAACCGCAUAGGUCCUUUAACCGCAUGGUUGAAGGAGGAAAAGAGGCGCAAGCUUCUGCUGAUGGAUGGACCCGCGGUGCAUUAGCUAGUUGGUGAGGUAACGGCUCACCAAGGCCGUGAUGCAUAGCCGACCUGAGAGGGUGAUCGGCCACAUUGGGACUGAGACACGGCCCAAACUCCUACGGGAGGCAGCAGUAGGGAGUCUUCCGCAAUGGACGCAAGUCUGACGGAGCAACGCCGCGUGAGUGAAGAAGGUUUUCGGACCGUAAAACUCUGUUGUUAGAGAAGAACAAGUGCUAGAGUAACUGUUAGCGCCUUGACGGUAUCUAACCAGAAAGCCACGGCUAACUACGUGCCAGCAGCCGCGGUAAUACGUAGGUGGCAAGCGUUGUCCGGAUUUAUUGGGCGUAAAGCGAGCGCAGGCGGUUCCUUAAGUCUGAUGUGAAAGCCCCCGGCUCAACCGGGGAGGGUCAUUGGAAACUGGGGAACUUGAGUGCAGAAGAGGAGAGUGGAAUUCCAUGUGUAGCGGUGAAAUGCGUAGAUAUAUGGAGGAACACCAGUGGCGAAGGCGACUCUCUGGUCUGUAACUGACGCUGAGGCUCGAAAGCGUGGGUAGCAAACAGGAUUAGAUACCCUGGUAGUCCACGCCGUAAACGAUGAGUGCUAAGUGUUGGAGGGUUUCCGCCCUUCAGUGCUGCAGUUAACGCAUUAAGCACUCCGCCUGGGGAGUACGACCGCAAGGUUGAAACUCAAAGGAAUUGACGGGGACCCGC